rnacentral:rRNA from 1 species
GGUAGGGUAAUGGCCUACCAAGGCGACGAUGGUUAGCUGGUCUGAGAGGAUGAUCAGCCACACUGGAACUGAGACACGGUCCAGACUCCUACGGGAGGCAGCAGUGAGGAAUAUUGCGCAAUGGGGGCAACCCUGACGCAGCAACGCCGCGUGAGUGAGGAAGGUUUUCGGACCGUAAAGCUCUGUCGAGCGGGAAGAAAUGCAUGGUGGCUAAUAUCCAUCAUGCUUGACGGUACCGCUAAAGGAAGCACCGGCUAACUCCGUGCCAGCAGCCGCGGUAAUACGGGGGGUGCGAGCGUUGUUCGGAAUUAUUGGGCGUAAAGAGCGUGUAGGCGGCCGAAUAAGUCAGAUGUGAAAUCCCUGGGCUUAACCCAGGACGUGCAUUUGAAACUAUUCGGCUAGAGUAGGGGAGAGGAAAGUGGAAUUCCUGGUGUAGAGGUGAAAUUCGUAGAUAUCAGGAGGAACACCGGUGGCGAAGGCGACUUUCUGGCCCUAUACUGACGCUGAGACGCGAGAGCGUGGGUAGCAAACAGGAUUAGAUACCCUGGUAGUCCACGCUGUAAACGAUGUUCACUAGGUGUUGGGGGUAUUGACCCUCUCAGUGCCGCAGCUAACGCA